GCAGAAAGCGUGUAUGUGUGGAGAGAGGGGGGAAAAAAGAGGGAAAGGCCUAGAGCUUCUCUUUCAGCAAGAAUGUUGCCAAUGAGACUAGCCAUGGGUUAUACGCUGUCAGCAUUUGCAAAGGAGCUGCCUGCCUGGAUUAUCUUCACUGGGAUCUUCCUGCCGGUGGUUUUGCUCCUAUUGUUGCUCAUUGCCUACUUCAGGAUCAAGCUGAUAGAGGUUAAUGAGGAAUUGGCCAUGGGCAAUGAUCCCACAGAUGCCAUCCUGAACUUCCACAUCCGGUACCAGAAACUGAGAUCUGAAAAAAAGAGAUUAACCAAAAGAACAUAAUGACGUUUAACGGACGUUCGCUUCAGAAAACAAGUUCGACAUUAGCAAGCAACUCAGGAGGUUUAAAAAUAACCUGCUGUAUUAUAAAAGUCAUGGGGGAAACAAAAUGGUGGGAAGUUAGUUUCAUUUGUACAGUCCUGCACUAUCUUAAAAGGCCUUGUAACAGUUUUGCUAUCUCUAUAUGAUACCUAGUAAGCAACACUUUCCUGAACUCGUCAGCACCUGUGACUUAAUGCAAUGUACUUUAUCGGCUGGUUUCUGAGACACAGCAUUUGGGAAAAAACCUCAUUGCUCACUAUUCCUUAGGUGCUUAUAUAAAGUCGAAAUAGCUCUAGGAGUCUUCAUGUGACAGCAGAAGCCUACGUAGGUCUAUGAAUCAGCAGCAGUCUUGUUGAGUCACAGGUGUACGAACAGCAGGUUAACAUGAAUUAAGAUUUUUUUUUUAAACAUACAUAUUGACAAAAGCAUGCUCUCUGAACUGAUGAGAAACUACAGAAAAACUUGAAAAGUGAAAGACAACAGUGAUGGAAGGAAAAAAAGGAUUUCUUCAUUUAUUUUUCCUGUUUCAUAUUUUAUUAAACUCACCUCCAUUAUAUUCUGUUUGUGAGGCAGAAGUUGGUACACCUGCCACCAAACCAAAUACCAAACCAUGGAAAGAAGCAACAAAUAUCUUUUUAAAGGGUCUGAGUUAUUUUAGUUUGGAAACACAAAGAACUCCUCUUAUAAUACUUAAAUAAGGAGAUGAUUUUUUAAACUAACAGGUGUAAUUAUGUUGUGAAAUUCUUUCUCCAUGUUUUUUCAUUAGUUGGAAACAAAUUAUAAAUAUGGCUUCAUUGCCAUGUGUCUGAAACAGAUCACCUUACAAGAAUGUACCAGUGGCCAUUAUUAGAAGAAAGCAACAAGAAGCCAAACAGCACUCAACUUUACCAUGCGCAAAGUCUUCUUGGUAUUAGAAUUUAAUCUCAUUCCUCUUGCUUCAAAUUCAUGACAAAUGGCAUUACUUUACAUUUGCACACAGUUUACUGUACAUUGUACUGUAUCAUACUGCAUAUGCAGACGGGGCUGAAUUAAGGCUGCAUGGGCAAUGUUCAUACUGGCAUUUCCUAACUUGGGCAUGUUCGACUUUGUAACCUUUUAAUUCUUAACUUUGUAUUUCCGAAUAUGGUUUAGUUUGAAAAUAACCAUAACUAAUAUUAAAGUUUUUUUUUGUUUGGGAAUUUAAAUUGGGACUGAAGCAAGAAUUAUAUGACUAUUCAGAUCAAGCCUCAAAAGUGGAAUAUUACAACGAGUGGCGACUACAUAUAUUGAUACAUUUUCUAAUGUCUUGAAAACCUGAUAAAAUGCAAGAGAUUUAUCCAGCUUUAUUUCAGAACAGGCUAUUUACUUUUAUAGUCUCAGUAGAAUGUGGACUAGAUCCAUUGAAUGUCAAACAAUAUUUGUGUAACUGUAGAGAAUCCAAACUUCACGUUACUUUUUUGUAAACUCUACCAAUUUAAUAUGCAAUUUCUUCAUUCAGUUAAUAAAAUAAUUUUACUGGUUAACACAGA